CACUAGCGUAUAUUAAAGUUGUUGCAGUUAAAAAGCUCGUAGUUGGAUUUCUGGUGGGAGCGAUCGGUCUGGCGCUUAGCGCGAGUACUUGCAUCGUCUCCGGCCAUCCUUGGGGAGAGUCUGUCUGGCAUUAGGUUGUCGGGCAGAGGAUCCUCAUCGUUUACUGUGAAAAAAUUAGAGUGUUCAAAGCAGGCUUAUGCCGUUGAAUAUAUUAGCAUGGAAUAAUAAGAUAGGACUUUGGUACUAUUUUGUUGGUUUGCGCACCAAAGUAAUGAUUAAUAGGGACAGUUGGGGGUAUUCGUAUUCCGUUGUCAGAGGUGAAAUUCUUGGAUUUACGGAAGACGAACUACUGCGAAAGCAUUUACCAAGGAUGUUUUCAUUAA
rnacentral:rRNA from 1 species